UCUACUGAGAACUUUAGCCCUCUACCUCUCGUUUAUGGAUUACAGUGAAACAUUACUGUACUGUUAGUACUAAUGUUCUACUCAUAUUUUCAAGGCUAUCUUGAGAACAAUGGUUAACACAAAUUUUAAAAAGGAACCUAAAAAGGGAAGAGAAGAACUUUUUGGCAGAUUUAUUUACAUAAAUUGCAGUUCUGCAGAAAUCUUUCAUACCCUGUGUCAUGCCCAUUAGCAGGGCAAACAAAGAUAUAUGAAGGAAGUUCUCCAAAUACUGGAGAAAGGAAAAGAGAGUAAGUAAUGUAAUUCUGCAGAGGCAUACUAAGUUUAGACGUAACUGCAAAGGUGUGGGCAACAACAUCCUGCUGACUUUGUGUUCCUGAAAAUGGGGUGUUCUGAACACCUCUGUCAGAGCACUGGCACUACUGCUAACUGUAGUCUUCAUGCCAUAUGGCACUUUUUCCUCCUCUAAAGUGUUGUGUUGAAAAUUUUUGCUUGUUUGAAUCCUCAGGCAUAUAUAAGGCAUCAGGAUAUAUAUAUUUUUUUUCCUAAGUGAGAAAAUCUUAACAGAACAGGUGUUCUUGCUGGCUUCUUGUCUUCCACACUACAUAACAGCAGCUAUUUCUAAAUGGUGUGGUUUAUUAUUUUCAGUUUUUUACCUCUCAUACUUGUGUAUUUGCAAGUCCUUCUUGCUCAUCUCUGAUUAUUUCACAUCUCAUUUAGAUAUUUCUAUUGAAAGCCGUUCACACUGGUGGCUUUUCUGUUUAGAUGACUUCAGUGGAGAAGAAUUUAGCAGCUCUCUUCGUGCUGUGUUCAGGUGCAGCUUGUGCAGCCAGCCAGCUGUGGUUUUACCCAAUCCUAAACAAAUCUACAAGAGCUACUAAAUCUGCAGUGACUGGCUUCCAGACUACUUGAGGAUUUGAAAUUUAUUUAAUGCAGCAGCUUUGUUCUGUUUGAGGGGCUGGCACUCCUCUGGGGCUCCAGAAGAGCUCUGUCAGUGCAGGAGGUACCAGCCUUGCUCGUGUCUACAGUCAACCCACCGGUAAGCUUGGGCUCAUGAGACACUGACAGUGUGGAAAUAUCUCAGUAGAAUGAUGAGGCUGCAGGUAGAAGGCAACUGCAAUUACUUCAGAAAGGUGAAAAGUAACAGAUGAUGUAACAACCCCGGGGAACACAUCUGAUGGAGGCAGCUGCAGCAUUGUCAUAUUAAUGUCUAUCAGUAAGACAACCCUCUGUAAGAUAAGUCAUGAGAAAAUCAGCUGUCACCCUCACUGUUGUGACCCUGCCUGCAUUAUCAGAGCAAGCCUGUCUCAAUUGCUGAGUCCCAUCAGCUAGACAGCAAAACUGAAAUCAAGGUAAUAAUUUUUCCCUAAAGUAUUUUUUUUCCUGAAUAUCAACCAUUCCUUCAGCUAGCAAAAACUGUCAGUCUUUAUUUUCUGAUUGUACUUGUAAUUUCUCAUCUUCCAAAAUACUGUCUAUAGAAUUUUUCCCUGCUGUUGGAAAUAUGUACAAUGUUAAAUGUGAUCAAAUUUACUCCAAUUUGCAUGAGAGCAAUGACGAUUUAUAGCUUUCAGCCAUGACUGCACUGUGCAUUUCUGCACAAUAAAUAUUUCUCUCUCACACACAUUUUUCAUGCUGGUGAACUUUCCUGAAUGCUAUAAUAUAAUGCAAUCUGUAAAAUGGCUAUAGGGAGCCCUGGUUAUCAUUCCAGUAAUUUCCUAUGUGGGACUGGGAUGGGAAUAUCUGGCAAUAUUUGAUUUUGCAGCUAUCAUGAUAUCCUAUCUUGCCUAUCCCUUUGAGUCUGUUGUUAUUGUCUGGAGUCAUCUGCAGGCAGUCUGGUACUGCUUGCAAAAAAGAUAACUCUGGGAAUUUUUUUGCCUUUCAUGCUUUGAAGUUUUGCUUGAGAAAGCUCUGCUUUCAUCUAUUUUUCCUCCUUAAAGCUGCUGUCAGGUAUCAUUUGCAGUUCUUUGGCUUGAUGGCGAAGUGCAAUGGAUGCAAAAUGCUGCAGCCUUAUCUUCCCUUGGAUGGACUGCAGCCCUAACAAGCUGGAAGUGAUAUAUUCAUAUUAAAAUCUCAUUGUAUCCUCUUCUGCCUGGCUUUUCUGAUGCUUUGCACUACCAAGGAAGAAGAGUUUCUUCGCCUUUUGAUCCACACAUCUUUUGUGCCCUCUGUGCAUCUUCUGGAUCCAGCUGCAGCCUUUACUCUGGAGAUUAAUGAUACAAAGAUCUCCUAAGAGCAGCUCUCUUUCAUUCUGGAACCCAAAUUACGGAAGCAAUCUUCAUAAAGGCCACUUCCCCAGCUACAGCGCCUGCUGUGAUAUGAUUCAUGCCUUUUGUCUUCUGCUUGGAAUUUGGGGAUGUUUAUGAAGCACUGUUAUAAAUACUGCAUCUAAUUCCUCUUUUCACAAGAUGCUUUAUUCACAAGAAGAAGAAAAAAAAGAAAGAAAAUUGCAUCACAUAUGUACGUCAUAUCAUUUCCAUUCCCAUUCCCAUUGCCAUCUGGCACUAUUCUUGUUGCCUCCUUCAUAUAUAUACUGAAAGGAUGUGAGACCAGUGCCAGGCAGACUCUCUGGAGCACACAUUUCGGUACUACAGCUGGGAAUUUAAUGGGCCACAGGCACGUUUGGGACAAUGAACUGAGUAAAUGUGCAUUUGAGAGCUGGAGCUGGAGUCAUACGUGCUUGGGAGCAGAAGAAGUAAUGCAUAAGAAUCCCGCUUUCCAUGCUGUGUAUCACUAGUGAUUUAACACAAAAGUUAUGAAAGCGAACAGAUUAAAUAUCUUAGCUGUUUUUA